CCUACGGGAGGCAGCAGUGGGGAAUAUUGGGCAAUGGGGGAAACCCUGACCCAGCGACGCCGCGUGAGGGAAGAAGGUUUUCGGAUUGUAAACCUCUGUCCUUGGUGACGAUAAUGACGGUAGCCAAGGAGGAAGCCACGGCUAACUACGUGCCAGCAGCCGCGGUAAUACGUAGGUGGCGAGCGUUGUCCGGAAUUAUUGGGUGUAAAGGGUGCGUAGACGGAAGAACAAGUUGGUUGUGAAAUCCCUCGGCUCAACUGAGGAACUGCAACCAAAACUAUUCUCCCUGAGUGUCGGAGAGGAAA
rnacentral:rRNA from 1 species